UAGUUUAUACUAAGUCACCCAUAGGUUAAGGAGGCGGUGGAGGAGGAGGAUGAGGUAGCCAACACUGUUAUAUAUAUAUAUUUUUUAAAUUUUAAAAAAAAAAAUUUUUAUUGGGGUAGCCCCCAAAAUAUUGGGACAUAUAAAAAAAGACAACUCUGGUCCGCAGAGUAGCUGUUGACAUUAUAGUUGCGCAAGCACUUUGUUGACUAUAGAGAACCUCGGGCAAAUCGCACAUCCCCGUGGCGGUGACUUUGCACGCGGAUGUGCAAUGCCAGUUUCUGCGCCUACCAUGGUGACCACGGGUAACAGGGAAUCAAGGUUCCAUUCCAUACAGGGACCCUGAGAAAUGGCUACCACAUGCAAGGAAGGCAGCAGGCGCGCAAGUCUCACUCCCGACGUGGGAAGGUAGUGACGACAAAUAACAAUACAGGACUCUUUAGAGGCCCUGCAAUUGUAAUGAGUCCACUUGAAAUCCUUUAACUCUGAUCAAUUGGAGAGAAGUCUGGUGCAGAACCAUUGACCCGUGCGUGCUGCAGCUGAAACUCCAUUA